rnacentral:misc_RNA from 1 species
UACGGAGGGUGCAAGCGUUGUCCGGAAUCAUUGGGUGUAAAGGGUGCGUAGGCGGGAGCCUAAGUCUGUGGUGAAAUCUUGCCGCUUAACGGUAAAAUGGCCAUAGAUACUGGGUUUCUUGAGUACAGGAGAGGUCGGUGGAGUUCGUAGUGUAGCGGUGAAAUGCAUAGAUACUACGAAGAACACCAGUGGCGAAGGCGGCCGACUGGACUGUAACUGACGCUGAGGCACGAAAGCGUGGGGAGCAAACAGG